rnacentral:lncRNA from 1 species
CACUGGGGAGAGAUUGGAUACGGAGGGAUAGAUCAGUGGUAAAGAGUGUAUGCUGUUCUCGCACAGGACCAGAGUUUGGACCCCAGCACCUGUAUCGGGCAGCUUACAAUCACCUAUAACACCAUCUCUAGGGGAAUCUGACGCCUCUGGCCUCUAUUUGCAUUCACAUGCACAUUAGAAACAAAAUAAAUCUUAAAAAAUAAAAUAAAAUUAAGGGCCAGUGAGACGGUUCAAAUAGGUGCCUGCCUGCAUGUUUGACAUGAGCUUAAUUCUGGGCACACAAGGCAAAAGGAGAGAACUGACUCUUUCUAGUUGUCCUUUGACCUCCAUAUGCUUGCCCACAUACAUACAUAAGUACAGGUAAUAAAAUAAUGCUACUUAAGGCUAUCAGUAUAAACAAGAAACGUGAUAAAAUGUGGGAUACAGUCAACUAAGCAAAAACUUACUUUAUAGUUGCAUAGUAAAAUGUUCCAAACCAAAUCCCAGAAGUUAUUAGGUGCACAGGAAUUAAAACUUUUCCAUAUUGUCUAAAUGUCUUCUUAAACCGUUGAUACAGACUGAUAGAUUUGUCUUGUAAAGGGUCUGUUUCUUCCUUCUUUUCUGAUGGAGUUUCCUGGGAUGUGGAACUGGAAGAUAAAACCCUCUUGGAUAAAAUGUCCUGCUCCCAUCGUUCCUGGCGAAGGGUCCCCAGCUGAGGCGGCUGAGCAUCUAAGAGAUUCCUUUGCUUUGCAAGGCACUGAACAGCAGAUAAAUGUAGCCACUGCUUUCGAAGGUGUGGUGUCCAAGCCACUCUGUAUUCACCUCUAUGCACAAGUAACGGCCCUUUUAUGCGCCAAUGGUGAUCAAAGAGCCUGGCUUUCUGUGCUUCCACGAAUGUCCUGAGUGCCAGCCGAGACAUAGUCCGUGGUACAUUCCAUUGCAUUUUGAAGGACAGUGAUGGGUUUCAGCUUCUACAGAAACUAGAUUU